GAGAGUUUAAACAAGGGGAUGAUGGGAUAUCAGACGAGGCUGACUUCUUUGCCAACAGUCUCACCCACAAUUCAGUGGCGAAUUUCUGAUGAAUUACAUGACAGGCUUUGUGAUUUACUGAAUAAUCAUAAUUAAAAGGCCAGUCUGUAUGCCUUUACAACAGAUAAACAUAUGAGUGUAACUUGAAGUCCAUCCAUCUUCAGAACCCGCUAAAUCCCUUUUUGGGUCACAGGGUUGCCAGAGCCUAUCCCAGCUACUGUUGGGCGAAGGCCGGGUAUACAUCCCAAAUAGCUUGCCAGUCUGCUGCAGGGCCUCACACUCAUGCACACCUACAUUCACGCCCAUAGGACAAUUUGAAAUCGUCAAUUAACCCAUUAAGUAUGUUUUUGGACUGCAGGAGGAAACCAGAGUUCCCCAUGCACGAGGAGAACAUGCAAACCCCACUCAGAAAGGACCCAUCUUGGAUUCAAACAAGGGCCUUCUCGCUGUAAGGUUUCAUCAUUUAGAGGUUUAGGAAACCUUUGUAGGUGAGUAGAAUUAAGGUGUGGCACAGUGUGUAUAGAAAAUUGCCUUUUUUCAGAAUAAUCUAAUUUUCUGACAUAGAAAUUAAGGGUUUUUACUACCUGUAAACCUUAACCUUAAAAGUAUAAGAAUUAAAGACUUGAAAUGUUAAAUUUUCGUGAAACAAAUGUGUACUAAAUAAAUGUUUCCCUUUUUUAAA